rnacentral:rRNA from 1 species
CCUACGGGAGGCAGCAGUGAGGAAUAUUGGUCAAUGGGCGGGAGCCUGAACCAGCCAAGUCGCGUGAGGGAAGACGGUCCUAUGGAUUGUAAACCUCUUUAGGCGGGGAGCAAUGCCGGGCGCGUGUGCCCGGAGGGAGAGUACCCGCAGAAUAAGCAUCGGCUAACUCCGUGCCAGCAGCCGCGGUAGUACGGAGGAUGCGAGCGUUAUCCGGAUUUAUUGGGUUUAAAGGGUGCGUAGGCGGAGUUUUAAGUCAGCGUGAAAAUGUCCGGGCUCAACCCGGGCCGGCCGUUGAAACUGGUGAGCUUGAGUGGGCGAGAAGUAUGCGGAAUGCGUGGUGUAGCGGUGAAAUGCAUAGAGAUCAGGCAGAACUCCGAUUGCGAAGGCAGCAUACUGGCGACCGACUGACGCUGAGGCACGAAAGCGUGGGGAUCGAACAGGAUUAGAUACCCUUGUAGUC